GUGUCACGCCCGGGGAGACUGUUACCGUCACCUGCUCAAGACCCGUCACGGGUCGCUUUGUCAGAAUCAGCGGUAAAAACAAGUUAAAUUUAGACGAUAUGCUCCAAAUGUGUGACGUACGAGUGUUUGGAGAGGCAAUAUCUACACAUUUCGAUUCAUGCGCAUCCCUCGUUCAAUAUAAACAACAACAUUCCACCAAGACUCCACUGAAGACCAUCAGCGAAGGAAUCGACAAUACUGCAGCAUGUGCUGCUGCAUGCGAACGCUCGGAGUCCUGCACGGGCUUCAGCAUCAGACACCUACCGGCCACAGUGUGUGAACUGCUUCAAGGGGAGAUAAGUCACUCACUUCAGGCUGACGUCCAAUGGGACAGUUACGUGUAUCAAGGAUGCUUCAGUGUGUGCGAAUAAAACUAUAAACUCUUA